UCGUACGCUGGGCUAUAAUUUAUGAAAACUGAGCCCCAGAUCCAGCCAAUCAUUUAGCUCCUCAUAACAAGUCUAACUGGCUCUGGAAAGCUGAAAGGACUGCGCUAGAACAACAACGAUGAGAUAUUCCACACAAUAAUCUGCUUAUCUGGAGUCACUUUCCCUUGCCAGGCCAGAGAGAAAUCGCAGCUUCAUCGUCUGAGGAAAGGAGGACAGAUGACCCUGGAAAACGCAACGACACCUGGAGCAA
rfam:Equus caballus chromosome 21, whole genome shotgun sequence.